GAACAUUUAAUAACCUUUCUGUUGUACGUUUCACGUUGUCGGCUAGUGCCAUCUAGACAGUAUUGAUCAUAACUAAAAAAGUAAAUAAACAAUUUGUUGCUGACAAAAUAAGAUACAGUAAACAACAUGAAGAAACCCACCGAUUUGGAAUCAAGGAUUCUCGAAAUACUUGACAACAACAUUAGAUUAAUUCAGUAUUCGGUGUACGCCGUUGGUUUGAUUGGUUUGGCAGUCAUUGCUAGAAGUACGCAUAUCUUUAGUAAGUUUACAUCAACCAAAAGUGUUCCAAGAGAAUUCAUUAGGAAAGCAGUGAAGUUGCAGGGGAAAGUAAAUGGCAUUGAAUACUAUCAGCUUCCUCUUCAACAAGUAGAAGGAUGUCAUCCAAACUAUGCACUCAGAUUUAAUAUUGAGCAUAUCCCAAUUGCAAGACUAUUGCCAUGGAGAAACAAAAAGGUUGUGGAGAAAUCCUUCUUGUUGAACAUUGAAUUGGUUGGAGUACACCUGACUACUCUUGAAGGAGUAGAUAAUGUAAUUAAGCUUCCCCUAGAGUCAAAUCCUACAAUUUGGUUUAGGCUAUAUGGUUUGAACUGCGAGACAGAUCACAUGUAUGCUUCUAUUUUCUUAAAAAGGACAUGGUGGAAACUCUGGAGUGAGAAAGAUCUUGCCUUAAUUAUUCUCAAACAGAACAAAGGAAUAGUUUCCCCAUAUUUACCUAACAGCCAGCAAAUCUACUUUAACGAGAAAUAUCCUGCAUAUUACAGGAAGUUAUUGUACUGUGAAAUCAAGUACAGGAAAUUAUAAUUGAAACAGUGUAAGAGAAAUUAAAGUUUUCACUGAGAAAACCAAAACUACUUUAGCACUUACUGCGCUUCAUCACCUUUCAUAAAGCAGUACUAGUAGAACCCUUUCGAAAUUCAAGCAGUGCCUUAAGGUCAUCUAUCUGUUUUUGAACUGCCCUUCGACUUGUUCCACCCGUGACUUGAUACUGCUCUACGCUAUGCUCGUAAUUCCAGAUGUUCGUAACGGAUGGAUCAUCAAAUACUGAGCUGAAAUUGCGUAAUAAGAUUACUAGAGCAUGUAACAUUAGUUGCCACGUGUAAAUGAUGAUACAAAACCUGAUGGACUGCAAAUCUUCAAGAGUUAAUGCUGCGAUAUCUUUAUGCUGGUUCUCGGCCUUUGCUACAAUCUUUCCAACGGUUGCGUGAGCAUCGCGAAAAGGCACCUGCAUGUGCAGUAAACCGUUUUAUGCAUGUCGUGUGCAUUAAAAUCGUGUUUAUAUUUACGCCUCUUCGCACCAGAUGGUGGGGAAAAAAAUUAGCCAACGUUUCCAGUAAGCGGCUUGCGAGAAAAGUGUACAUUUUUUGUACUUUUAAAGUGGAAAGAAUCCCAGCAGCGACUUGAAGAGUACAGAAUAAAUUGUCCACGACAUCAAACAGAGCCUCUUUAUCCUCUUGUAAGUCCUUGUUGUAGGCAGAAGGUAAUCCUUUUAGGACCAUAGAGAAACCUGCCAUCUGAGAAAGAAUUUCAAACUUGUAGACUAGACUUGUGGUAAUCUUAUCAGGUAAUCAUCUACCUGUCCAAAUAUUCUCCCAGCUUUAGCUCGAAUCAGUUCUAAUCCAUCUGGAUUUCUUUUUUGUGGCAUUAAACUGCUUCCUGUACUAUAAGCGUCGGCUGUGAAUGAACAAAACGAAUAAAUUUCAAAACAAUCA